UUGUCAUUCCGAACGCAGCGAGGAAUCUGGGGUAGCCUGUCGUGAUAAACCCAGAUUCCUCGCUGCGUUCGGAAUGACAA
rnacentral:miRNA from 1 species